rnacentral:rRNA from 1 species
CAGUAGCCACGGGAAUACCGAGGGUGCAAGCGUUAAUCGGAAUUACUGGGCGUAAAGCGCGCGUAGGUGGUUUGUUAAGUUGGAUGUGAAAUCCCCGGGCUCAACCUGGGAACUGCAUCCAAAACUGGCAAGCUAGAGUAUGGUAGAGGGUGGUGGAAUUUCCUGUGUAGCGGUGAAAUGCGUAGAUAUAGGAAGGAACACCAGUGGCGAAGGCGACCACCUGGACUGAUACUGACACUGAGGUGCGAAAGCGUGGGGAGCAAACAGGAUUAGAUACCCGCGUAGUCCCUGUCUCUUAUAC